rnacentral:rRNA from 1 species
CCUACGGGGUGCAGCAGUAGGGAAUCUUCCACAAUGGGCGCAAGCCUGAUGGAGCAACGCCGCGUGUGUGAUGAAGGGUUUCGGCUCGUAAAACACUGUUAUAAGAGAAGAACGGCACUGAGGGUAACUGUUCAGUGUGUGACGGUAUCUUACCAGAAAGGAACGGCUAAAUACGUGCCAGCAGCCGCGGUAAUACGUAUGUUCCAAGCGUUAUCCAGAUUUAUUGGGCGUAAAGCGAGCGCAGACGGUUAUUUAAGUCUGAAGUGAAAGCCCUCAGCUCAACUGAGGAAUUGCUUUGGAAACUGGAUGACUUGAGUGCAGUAGAGGAAAGUGGAACUCCAUGUGUAGCGGUGAAAUGCGUAGAUAUAUGGAAGAACACCAGUGGCGAAGGCGGCUUUCUGGACUGUAACUGACGUUGAGGCUCGAAAGUGUGGGUAGCAAACAGGAUUAGAUACCCGUGUAGUC